rnacentral:rRNA from 1 species
GAUGAACGCUGGCGGCGUGCCUAAUACAUGCAAGUCGAGCGAACAGACGAGGAGCUUGCUCCUCUGACGUUAGCGGCGGACGGGUGAGUAACACGUGGAUAACCUACCUAUAAGACUGGGAUAACUUCGGGAAACCGGAGCUAAUACCGGAUAAUAUAUUGAACCGCAUGGUUCAAUAGUGAAAGACGGUUUUGCUGUCACUUAUAGAUGGAUCCGCGCCGCAUUAGCUAGUUGGUAAGGUAACGGCUUACCAAGGCAACGAUGCGUAGCCGGCCUGAGAGGGUGAUCGGCCACACUGGAACUGAGACACGGUCCAGACGCCUAAGGGAGGCAGCAGUAGGGAAUCUUCCGCAAUGGGCGAAAGCUUGACGGAGCAACGCCGCGUGAGUGAUGAAGGUCUUCGGAUCGUAAAACUCUGUUAUUAGGGAAGAACAAAUGUGUAAGUAACUAUGCACGUCUUGACGGUACCUAAUCAGAAAGCCACGGCUAACUACGUG